UGGACUGGUGAGUAACACGUGAGCAACCUGCCUAUCAGAGGGGAAUAACAGUGAGAAAUCAUUGCUAAUACCGCAUAUGCCAUAAAUAUCACAUGAUGAAAGUGGGAAAGGAGUAAUCCGCUGAUAGAUGGGCUCGCGUCUGAUUAGAUAGUUGGUGGGGUAACGGCCUACCAAGUCGACGAUCAGUAGCCGGACUGAGAGGUUGAACGGCCACAUUGGGACUGAGAUACGGCCCAGACUCCUACGGGAGGCAGCAGUCGGGAAUAUUGCGCAAUGGAGGAAACUCUGACGCAGUGACGCCGCGUAUAGGAAGAAGGUUUUCGGAUUGUAAACUAUUGUCGUUAGGGAAGAUACAAGACAGUACCUAANGAGGAAGCUCCGGCUAACUACGUGCCAGCAGCCGCGGUAAUACGUAGGGAGCAAGCGUUAUCCGGAUUUAUUGGGUGUAAAGGGUGCGUAGACGGGAAAGCAAGUUAGUUGUGAAAUCCCUCGGCUUAACUGAGGAACUGCAACUAA
rnacentral:rRNA from 1 species